UCCUUUGUCUGUUCAAAGGUUGAAAGCACAGGUCAGCUCUUUGCUUCAAGCGUGUCUCUCAUUCUGCUGAGUUAUUCAGCAUUCUCUUCUCUCUCUCCUUCAAUAGCGGAUUGCUCUGGUGUUUUUAUCGAUGGUCUUGUGAGCUAAAACUUCGAUCUCUCUGGAAAUCAGGUUUGGCCUUUUCUUUGUUUAUUUCAUAUUCUUUGUAGUCAUAAUUUGUUGGGUAUCGUUUGUUCUCUGUUCUUUGGUGGGUAUAUGUUAGAUUUUUUCUCCUAUUGGGGUACUUUAUUGUUGAAUUUCCCACUUGCAUAUGCGUAAAUUGGUUUGAUUUACUCAUGCAUGUUUGGAAAUUGGUACCUAGAUAAUUCAAGAGCAAGUUUCGUCCUUUAGUCGCAUUUCUGCAAUCUCUCUUUGUUUCUUGCACUUUUUUGUCAGUAUUUAGAAUAUUGGUCUUCGCUCUUUCAAUGUUUAUCUAUCUUUAUUCUAUCUAUCAUCUGAUUUGACCUCUCUGUUUUGGUAAUCUUUUUUUGUUUGAUUGCAGUUUCUUUGUUGGUAAUUUGGAUUUGGUGGGUACAUCAUAGUUUAACCAAAUCUCUAACAAGAAACUGUUAAUUCAUGUCACUAAUUUUAAGUAAUUUCAUUUACCUUAUAUUUUCAUAAAGGAAUUUGGUGAUUUGACUAUUUGAACUUGGGGUUUUGAGCAUUCAAUCAAAUUUACAUCUCAGAGUUGGACCAAACACUCAAAACGCCAUAUUGGGGUGUAACGCGUUGAUAAAUGUCUAUUCAUGGCAGAACUGGUUUGGUUACUUUCCGUGUGGAGUAUCAUGUGUUGUAUUUCGACCUUUUAAAGGCCAUAAUAGUUACCAUGAUUAACAAGGUAAGAACAUUCGUUGCAUUUUAUUGAAGUUUUAUUUGUUUCUCUCAUCUUUCUACGUCAUCUUUCUUGAUUGUCUCUAUCAAUUUUUUUGUUCUCUUCCUUCUUUCUUAUUAGUUUAGUUCUGCUAACCCUGAAGACCAAGACGCCAACUCUUUUGGCUCCAAGUUAUUGCAAUUCCAUAGCUGGAGAUGAAAAAACUUCUGGUGAUGUUAUUCAUGAUUUUUUGAGUUUGUCUGAUGGUGACAGUGCCACUGAGAUUCCCUGAAAUAGAAGUGCAAGAUAAGCCUUUUAACAUCACUGAUGAUUGUAGGUGUUAUUUGGUUUGCAGAGAUUCCCUUUAAUUGCCUGCAAGUCAAUUGUAGAUAUAUAGCAAUUUCUCUUUCAAUUAGCACCAUCUGAACCCAGUACUUUCAACGGUAAUGCUUGCCAUUUAUGUGUAAAAAUCUACUAAACUGUAAUAAAUAGUAGAUAUGAACCCAUGACUUUAAAAAUAUAAUAGUUUCAAAGCUAAGAACAUUAAAGGUUGAAGCCAUAGAGCGUAAAUCCUAGAUCCACCUCUGAUCAUAUUUGAAGGUCAAACUGGAAAACGGAUCAACUUUUGGUGUAAUUAAGCACUUUGAAGUGGAGUGCAGAAUUCUACAAGUUGCACCUCUUAAUUAUUUAGUAAGAACAAUAGUGGUGAUUAAGUGCCACCAUAGUCUUUAUUUUUCAUGGUUAAUGCAACUGUUACUAAGAAUAAUAAAAGGUCUCGCCUGAAUUUGAGUCUUUGGAUAUGAUGAACCAAUUUCUACUAUAACAUUUGCUCUUUAAAUCUUUACUAUGUUUGAUUUGGUGAUUGGAUAUUAGUUGAAGGUAGAUGUUGGCUUCAUGGAGCUCAGACCUUCUGAAAUUGCAGCAGCACUGGCAAUGUCUAUUUCAGUCUUUCAGGGAAAAGCGAGCAAAAAAAUAUAUUGAAAGGUUACUCUGGCACGGGAGGAAAAGUUCCAACUUCUCCUCAAAAGUCCUCAUCACAUGUAUUUGAGAUUUCAAAGCAAUGACAUGACGGUUUCAGAUGUGUACAGAACACAAUUGCAUUAACUUUAGAAGAUCUCUAAUUUGUGUCACUACAACUUAAGUGAUGGUACAUGAAAUUCCUCUUUUAUUUGGUGAUUGCUAUAAAGAUUGUGUACAACUCUUUAUAAGAAAGACUUCUAAAAACUAUGUCAACUGUGUUGGGCCCGUGCAUAGCACGGGCUUAUCUAGCUAGUUAUUUAGAAAGGGCAGUUGGGGUGAACGAACAUGUACGAACAAGGGCACUUUGAUAAUUACAAGUUCAUGUAGGGAUAAAUUGGUAAAUUGGUCAUCAAUCUUUUCCAAGAAAAUCGUGUACAGCAUAUUACUGUGUAAAACUAUUCUCUCCCAGCUACUGAUACACAAUCAGCAAAUGAAGCCAGCUCGGAUGCCAACGUGGAUGCUAAGUUAGUUUAGUUAGUUAACAAUUUGAAUUGUACGAGUGGCGGGAAAUUUAGUUAGAAGCGAACUUAGCAUUUCUACUUCUAGAUUCUUCAAUGUAGUGAGCCUAUAUACAGACUUUAUUGUAAUUGUUGUGGUUAAGUGAAAGUGAAAUAUACAGAAAAUUGUUCUACUUC